GGCGUUGAAACACCGGCUCUCGUACGAUCACCGAAGUUAAGCAACGUCGACCCUGGUCAGUAACGAGACGGGUGGGUGCUUGUGAAUACCGGGUGCUGU